rnacentral:rRNA from 1 species
AGUGAACGCUGGCGGUAGGCCUAGCACAUGCAAGUCGAACGGCAACACAGUAAGAGCUUGCUCUUACGGGUGGCGAGUGGCGGACGGGUGAGGAAUACAUCGGAAUCUACUUUUUCGUGGGGGAUAACGUAGGGAAACUUACGCUAAUACCGCAUACGACCUACGGGUGAAAGCAGGGGAUCUUCGGACCUUGCGCGAUUGAAUGAGCCGAUGUCGGAUUAGCUAGUUGGCGGGGUAAAGGCCCACCAAGGCGACGAUCCGUAGCUGGUCUGAGAGGAUGAUCAGCCACACUGGAACUGAGACACGGUCCAGACUCCUACGGGAGGCAGCAGUGGGGAAUAUUGGACAAUGGGCGCAAGCCUGAUCCAGCCAUACCGCGUGGGUGAAGAAGGCCUUCGGGUUGUAAAGCCCUUUUGUUGGGAAAGAAAAGCAGCAGGUUAAUACCCCGCUGUUCUGACGGUACCCAAAGAAUAAGCACCGGCUAACUUCGUG